UUGGUUAGGUUAACAAACAAGGGUCAUUUCUAAGGCCAUUGAAACGAAAGUGCCGAUGCAAAAGAGACAUUCACAGUAUUAUUCACACUACUCGACUUUGUUUCAUUUGUUUCUUAUUUGAAACCUUCACAACACAUAUUCCACAACUCAAUUUUUAUUUUUCACUAUUUUUCUUCCAAGCAAGCAUUCAUUUUCAUUUUUUCUAUUUUUGUUCUUUUCUUUCACAUCAAAUAUACAAAACAGAUGUUUCUUUUCUAUAUUUUCUAUACAUAUAUUUUUCUAUGCUUGCUCGGUUUUUCUUUUCUUUUUCAAGAGUUGUGGUACUUACCAAUUCUUUUUCGUUCUCCCCAACUUAUUUCUUCCACACCCUAAGUGAAUGCUCUUAACUUUUUACGGCAAAAGAACAAUAAUCAAGAUUUUCCGGGUUGUAAAAAAAAGAUUUUUGAGAUCUCGCUUUAUUUCAAGCCGAGAUUCAACUGUUCAGGCUCAAAGGGGUUAACAAAUACUCUCUCUGCUCACAGGUAAGUUGUUUUUGGAUGUAGUUGUGCUCGAAAGAAAACAAGUGCCUUGAUCAUUUCUAAUUGCUUCCACAAUUUCACAAUAAUAAAAGACAAA
rnacentral:lncRNA from 1 species